AUUUAUAUAGUUUAAAAAAUAAAACACUAUAUUUUCAUUAUAAAAUUAAUAACUCCUAUUUAUAAAUA
rnacentral:tRNA from 1 species